rnacentral:rRNA from 1 species
UGACCCGUGAACGUGUUUAAAAGAUAGUUGGGGAAAUUUGUGGCUCCCCGACACGGCUCGCCAACGAACCCCGGCGCGAGAAGCGCCAAGGAAAUUGAGUACUAGGAGCACGCCCUCGUAGCCUCGGUGUCGGGGGCGCGCCUUCUUUUUGUGAUAAUCUGAACGACUCUCGGCAACGGAUAUCUCGGCUCUCGCAUCGAUGAAGAACGUAGCGAAAUGCGAUACUUGGUGUGAAUUGCAGAAUCCCGUGAACCAUCGAGUCUUUGAACGCAAGUUGCGCCCGAGGCCUCCUGGUCGAGGGCACGCCUGCCUGGGUGUCACGCAUCGUCGCCCCCACUCCCCUCGGCUCACGAGGGCGGGCGGAUACUGGUCUCCCGCGCGCUCCCGCCCGUGGUUGGCCUAAAAUCGAGUCCUCGGCGACGGUCGCCACGACAAGCGGUGGUUGAGAGACCCUCGGACACGGUCGUGCGCGUGCUUGUCGCCCCCGGGACCUCCCGGACCCCCGAGCAUUGGCUUUCAAGGAUGCUCUCGUUGCGACCCCAGGUCAGGCGGGACUACCCGCUGAG